rnacentral:lncRNA from 1 species
CUUGUGCACACAGGUGUUCCUUGCACCCCUCCCCUUUCUGGUGUCCUGAGAUGCUGCACCUGGGAACCCCUCAGAAAGCUGCCUCACUUGAGACUGGUGCCUGCUGGACAGUGGUGCCCAGCCUGGCCGGAGGCGUGAACCCAGGCCGUUGUCGCAUUACACCAGCAUGUGUUGUAGGGUUAAGAGUCUGUACAAAUAGUAAUAAAUAUGUUUGAAGCAGUUUCUUGUUGUGCAGUUGGUUUCCAUCUAGGCCACAGUGGGUAUCCGAGACCUCAGAGGGAGACAGAAGUGUUGUGGAAAAGGCUUGAGGCUGGCGCCCAGGAGACCUGGGUUCUGGUCCUGGUGUGGCCUAGUGCUAAUGGGUAAUUACGGCAGCUCUGCCUCUCUGGGCCCGUGCUUCACUUCAGUAAGUGUGGGUGACAGUGGCCUUGCCCCUGACCAUUACUCCCUGGGCUGCUAUUUUCUGUCACUAAUUAUUUCAGUGAUCCGUUCUUUAGCAUUAAUAAUUUUCUGUUUAUAUACUGGCUGAGCUCCCUUUGCAAGUCUGGUUAACGGUUGUUUUGGUCUUCUCAGGUUACAGUAACAAAAUACCACAGACUGGGACUUAACGACAGAUACUUGUUUCUCAGGUUCUGGAGGCUAGGAAAUCCAAGAUCAAGGUGCCAGCCAAUUCAGUUCCUAGUGGUCUUUCUGACUUGCCACCUUCUCCCCAUGUUCCACCAGGACAGAGAGAGCUCUAGUGUCUCCUCCUGUUCUUAUAAGGGCCCUAUUCCUACCCUCAGGACCUCUCAACCUUCCAAAGACUCCCAACUCCAAAUGCCAUUGUGUCGGGCGUUAGGCUUCAGCAUUUUAGAGGGACACGGUUCGGCCCGGGGUGUCUGUCUCCUGCUUUGCCAUGUCUUUUCUAGGUCCACUGGGUAUUGAUGGGGGAAGUCACAAGCUGAUUAGUGUUUCCAGUCCUUUGGCCUUUCACUGGCCCCCUUCCGCACCUCUUUAAUUCUUUGUAUUGUGACACCCUGGCAGGUCCCCUACGGUAGCUCUUGCAAAUUUCAUCCCAUGCUCUCUUUUAUCCUUCGUAACAUCCCUCUCGCACUCCGCAGACAACCAUAAUUCUUAAUUUACUGAGAUGACACAGGCUAUGAAGCAAAGGCCCCCUCCAUGCCCUUUCCCUCUGCCUCAGGAAGAGGUGUCGUGUCUAGCUAAAUCAAACUCUUUAUCUCCUCUCUAAUUCGCCCCCUAAAUGUAGCUCUUGCUAAGUUCUACUUUAGAGCCUCUUCUCUGUAUGAGCAGCUGUCACCUUUUGAGGCCCAUUCAAACCUUUCUCCAGGCUGUUGAGAGGACUUUGGUAAUCUUUAUUGAGCAUCCACCCUGUGAGGGGCACGCUGCCAGGCAUGCAGAGAUGCGGGUGCAGAGAUGAAGGGCCCCUACCCAUCCGCCAUGACUACACAGGCUGCAGAUGAUGCAUCGAAUGGGCGUUGUAUCUUACUGCAUUUUCCAAAGAGCACGAUCCAGACUUGGGGGUGGAGGGAAAGGGUACGGGUAUAUAUUUACCAUUCUACUAUACUUUGCUAAAGUAUGCUUCUGUUUUUCCGUAAAUGGGCAGAUUUACUUCGUUCUCUUAAAGACAUCAUAGUACUCCUAUGCUCGUGUAUUUAACCGUCAAUGGACAAUUAGUUUUGUUAUCUUCUGCCAUUACAAGCAGUGCUGUAGUGAACGCCCCUGUACGUGUAUCUUUGCUGACAACUGCAGGCAUUUUGGCAGUAUGAAUUCCUGGAAGUGUUGUUGUGGAAUCGAGGGCGUGAGCACGUUUUGUCAAAUCCGCCCCUCAAGGUGGUUGCACCUGGUGCCCUUAAAGCAGGUGCGGGUGUGAAACGCCAGGCUCGGAGCGGCGGCGGCCUCCGAGCAGCAGGCGGCGCUGUGAGCGUGUCUGUGCCGAAGCGGCGCGGGCCGCGCUGACCCACUUCCGGCGGCGGCGGCGGCGCACGGGCGCUAAGUCCUAGGGUCCGGCGGGUGGUUGGGCAAGAUGCCGUAUGCCA